ACAAACUUGUUUCGUAUGACAAGCAAUGCUUGCCACACUCAUCAGGAUGAUGAUGAUGAGUGUGGCAAGCAUUGCUUGUCAUACGAAACAAGUUGUAGU